rnacentral:rRNA from 1 species
GAUGAACGCUGGCGGCGUGCCUAAUACAUGCAAGUCGAGCGAACGGACGAGAAGCUUGCUUUUCUGAUGUUAGCGGCGGACGGGUGAGUAACACGUGGAUAACCUACCUAUAAGACUGGGAUACUUCGGGAAACCCGGACCAAUAACGGUUAAAUAUUUUGAACGUAAUGGUUCUUAGGUAAAAAAGGUCUUGGUUGCACCUAAUAGAGGAUCCGUGCUGCAUUAGCUAGUUGGUAAGGUAACGGCUUACCAAGGCAACGAUGCAUAGCCGACCUGAGAGGGUGAUCGGCCACACUGGAACUGAGACACGGUCCAGACUCCUACGGGAGGCAGCAGUGGGGAAUCUUCCGCAAUGGGCGAAAGCCUGACGGAGCAACGCCGCGUGGGUGAUGAAGGUCUUCGGAUCGUAAAACUCUGUUAUUAGGGAGGAACAUAUGUGUAAGUAACUGUGCACAUCUUGACGGUACCUAAUCAGAAAGCCACGGCUAACUACGUG